rnacentral:rRNA from 1 species
UACGUAGGGUGCAAGCGUUGUCCGGAAUUAUUGGGCGUAAAGAGCUCGUAGGCGGUCUGUCGCGUCGGAUGUGAAAAUCCAGGGCUCAACCCUGGACCUGCAUUCGAUACGGGCAGACUAGAGUUCGGCAGGGGAGACUGGAAUUCCUGGUGUAGCGGUGAAAUGCGCAGAUAUCAGGAAGAACACCCGUGGCGAAAGCGGCUCUCUGGAACGGUACUGACGCUGAGACGCGAAAGCGUGGGGAGCGAACAGG